UGCUACACCCCCUCACCAACACUGCCAGUGCAUGAUGGGAAUGUAAUUAAUGAUCUUGAUAAGGCUUUCCCGGUGUCCCAAGGCUGAGCGAGUCACUUAUUUAUCAAUAGAACACCGGCUGGCCUCUCCGAAACAAUGAGUGAUUCAGGUGAUUCACGCAGGCUUCCCACAGCCACGCUAUUAGCAGAACUUGAUUUACCAGAUUGCAAGCUACUUUUUCAAAAAGCUAAUCAAUGGAAUGUCCUCACCCUGACCCCACGAUUAGAGUGUUUGUUCUCCUAGGUGCCCUUCUUUCGGCAGCGCAAGCUACAAGAAAAAGGACUGAAUUGUUUUUCCCUUGAUAACGUUGGUUCCAUUUGUCCUGGUAGCAACUUAGCUUCCUGGACUUCUUUUUCUCAAGGAUAGAGGAGCAGUAGACAUUGGGAGAAUGCCUAUUUAAAAGCUGGCCUGGGUCUGAAAUAGCCUGGGAUAAAACCGGACUUGCUGAACAUAGCGGACAAUGAGGACUACUGAGAACUCAAAAACAAUGGCAAUGGGUUUUUGAUCCUACUGCGCGUACUGGCUUUGUGGGAGCCUAGGCAGUUUGGAUGCUCACCUUACUAGACCUGGAUGGAGGACCUCCGUGAGAUGGGCCCAACAGGAAACAAUUCCAUCUUCCAGAGUGGAUACUCGUUUGCUUGUCCGGCCAGGAGUCUGGGAGAAGCCAGCAGGCAAUGCAGUCAUUUGGUAAUGUCCUUCCCUCUGCCAAGGCGGAUUAAUGCUGGGAGAUUUUACAACUGGUGAGUAAUGGGUAGUGUUUACAGAUCCUCCGAGGUCCCCAAGGUGUGAUUAUUUUCAUACGUAGGUCCUGCCAUCAUUCCCCCAAAGGGUGCUUUGUCAUUUCCUCUGCUCUUCCUUCGCUGAACCCUCAAGUCUGUGUUACAAGGACAACAAGGUCCGUAAGUCAUGGCCAAACUCCUCAAAAACCAACUGGUAAACACGUCCCAGACACUGCUCAAGGGAGACGUUGUCCUGACAAACCCUCUCACGGUGGUGUUAGAUGUGAGGCCGAAGAAGAGCUCAGUCCAUGAGCAACUCCAUAUAUGUAAGGUGUGGUUUUAGAACUGAUUGCUCUUGGCACUUUUUUUUUAACACUGUUGCCAUUCAUUCCCCCCAGCUCCUGUCACUGCCCCCGCCCCAACUCUUCAAUUUGUAUUCUACUCCUCUCUGGAUUUCAUAGCUCUGUAAAAGUCUUCUGACAUCAAAAAAGGCCACAUUCUAGAGUUUGAGUUCUGUACACACAAUAAAAUUAGUUAAAUAAAUUCUACAGGGCAAAGUGCUUGUCUAACAUGCUCAACGCCCCUGGUUCAUUUGUUGGCCCAGCAAGAAUAUAAAUGAAUAAAAACCAAAAGGAAAUAAAAAUAAAAUUAACAGUUCAGGUUCUGUCUGUGCCACCGACUGGCUUGGAUCCCCAAUGAUCUACCUAAAGUCUGAGGUCCCUCCUCUGUAAGCUGGACAUAUUUGUGAGCCCAGAAGAUCAAGGGUGUGUAAAGGCUAGCUCUGCCCACGUGAGACAGUGCUUGGUAAGUGCUGGUCACGGUACUAGUUAGUAUUCAGUAACAGCUAUCAUUAGGGUUUCUUUGUUAGUUGGAAGUGUUAGAACACCUAGCUAAGGCCAGGUUCUGUAUUCCUCGAAGAGGACUUUACAGCCCCUCGCUGCUGGCUGAGUGAGAGCUGUGCAGUUGUCUUCUGGGUCUUAUUCUUGUCCCCCUUCAUUCAUGGACCUGAGCCCAAAUCCUUUCGCGAGGCUUCAGCACCCCCUUCUUCCUGUCACUGAAGAGAUCAGGAACGUAGGUCUGCUUUGAAGAUCCCUUCAACUCCGAGUCGAAUCUUAAGGUCACCCACAAGAGCAAAGCCAGAAUUGUGGGAAGCUGGGCCAAGUGUUUCUCAGAACCUGAGAAGUUCUUAUCAGCAGAUCCAUCCCAGGAGAGUCACUGUGUUGCCUAAGCCAGAUGUUGUGCCUGAUAUUAGGUAACCAAGGCCAUAAGCCAGAAGUGCUGCCUCGGCUGGUGAAGAAUCACACAGAAGCUUUAGGGGGUAGGGGGGAAAUGGGUGGCUGCUGCCCAAGCUGGGGGACCCCAUUCUCAAAAGGUUCUUGGGCCAUCCUGAUGACCCCAGGCUGGGAAACCCUGCUGAGAGCAGCCCCCCAGUUUGUUCCUCCAGUGCUUUGGAGCUGGACUGUCCUCCCUGAACCACAUACCUUUGCCAGUCACCCUGGAACUGGCGAAUUUUUGAUAACAGUCACCACGUGCUUCCAACAGAUCACAGAGCAUCAAGCUGCUGAUUAUGGCUUCUGAACCCCUUUGUCCUACACCUCACCCCGUUAGCCCAGGAGAGAACAAGGACAUCAUACUGGAGCCAAAGUAAUACAAUCAAGAGAGAACAUGGGGUUGUAGAAUCAGCAGCAGCCUGUCUGGAACAAUGGAUAAGAGUUCAAAAGAUUUAAAGGCCGGAGACUCAACACUGAUCAAAACGCAGAUAAAAGAAGUGCUCUCUGCCAAGGCAAUCUGACACGCCAGAGUACUUACUGUGCUGGUAACCCUAGUGGGGCCUUUGUUUUAUAAGAGAAAGGAAAGAGGAAAGAAAAUAGAAAGAAGAUUGUGGGGAAAGCCUUGAUGUGGUUGAAACAAAGGAGCAGGGCAGUGGCAGGGGGCCAUAUUGUUGAGAGAUGUCUGCUCUGCCCUCAUGGACCUAAACAUCCCCAGGCCACAGGUCCUUUCCUACAUCCUGAUCACUCCAGGGCCGUGGAAUGGUGUUCUACAGUUGACAGUAAUAACCAGCUAACCAACAAGACGACACAGAUGGGCACCAGGAGACUGAGGGGGACCCAAGCAAGUGAGAAUUCCUUCAGGACUGACCCUGGAAUCAGCUACCAGAGAAAAAUUACUGAAGGCAAACCCAAGCCCCGCACUCGGAUCUGCUGCUCCCUGGGCUCUCCAGACAGAACCCAGCGACUUCCUACUUUACACGCUGAGGUUGUUCUUCCUUGUCUGCUCAACUGAAAACUAGAUCUAGCCUCACCCAGAAUCCUUAGAUUUAAAAAACAACCACACAAACGCUCCAAACAUGAGCACACAUCUCUUUCGGGACAUUCAAACACCCUUCUGGAGCACACAGCCGUCAAGCAGAUUCCAUCUCUGAACUUUAUGCAAGGUUAGUUCAACAUAGCCUCAUAAUCCCUCCCAAGCCCAUCCUCUCUUUCCUGUGGUCUUCAUGGUCCCAUCUUCCUCAGGAUCCCUGGCCCCUCCUCUCAAGGACAGUCAGGAAAGUGAGUCUCCAGCGUAGCUUGGGACCCGCGCCUGCAUGUCCAAAAAACAUCCCCGCUAGCCCCCAAAGGUACGGAUUGCUGUGUUCUAACGAAAUGAAAUCGUUAAAAUGAUUUUAAUAAAAAAAUCACGAAUGACUUGUGCCUAUGGUACAGAUCUCAUUAAACCUCCUAGCCGUAAAACCCUAUACUUUAGAAGCGUAGACUCUCCCUCCAAGUGACUUAAGAGCGGUCCAGGAUCUGAUUUACCCAUUUUGGCUCUGGUAGCGGAGUAGGCCUCAGCCAAACAACUGUCUCCCCACAGUGGUGAUACCCAUCUUUAAGAGCAUAGCUAGUAGAAGCGACUGCAGCCCUAUGAACUGAACCAGCUCGGCCUGGAGAAGGACCGCUUCCUGCUGCGCAUGCGCAUCUCGGGAGGUAGGGCAGGAUCCAGAGGCUGAUGGCCAUCUAUCACUUCUGGGAUACCCUGGGACCUCACCGUGGCCUACUUUCCAGAGAUUGGUUCUGACUCCUGAUUAAUCUGCACUUUCCGUCCUUCUGACGUAGCAGAGGCGACGUCAUCUCUGCUAGAGACACCCCAGCCAGGUCUUUGAUGCCUCCCCAAGACGAUCACACCCAGGCCCACAAGGCCACAGCCUGGUCUACCCACAGUGCCCCUGUUUGCUUCUGCUGACUAGUUACAUACAAAAUUCUUUCCUGUCGUAAUCGUAAAAUUAGAACAUGGGGCCUUUUAAAGAUGAACUAUCAGGAGUAGAGCCUGGCUGUGGGGGCAAAGCCCUGGAUUUGGGCUGAGGUGUCUCAAAGAAAACAGUUUCAAAGGGGAGACCUUACAGAAUCAUUCAAAGCCCUUUUCUCCAGACUAACAAUCUGUCAACUUCGAUGUAUUCCUUUCCAGUCUCUUUUCUUUCCUUCUACAACAAAUUUUGAGUUUUUAAUAUUGCUCAGCUACAGACCUUUUAUGAGCUUUGUUUUAUUGUGUUUGCUUGCUUCUUAGCAAAAACGUGAAUUUUUAUAAAACGUUGCUGUAAAGCUUUUGGCGUCGUGUUAAUUGAUGUGCCAUCAAGUACUUAAAUGUUAUUUCUGUGUAGGGGCAUCCCCUAUUCUGACGUUUCCGGUGUGUUGUGAUUACUAAGCAGCGGAUAGAAAAGCCCUUCAACAUGACCCUGUCCCCGCUGACCUGUUUGAGGGCUCAUGAAGCAUGCACAGCCAACAGCCUGUCACCCUGCAGGUAGUGGAGUUACUGAAACUUGAAAGACCUCUGUUCUUUUCCACAUUGCGGAUGGAAGGGAAGCAGAACGGGCGGGUUCUUUAGGAUAGCUCCCACGUCUAUGA